GAGGGGAAAACAAGAGAGGUUUCUUGGGGAAAAAAAUGCCCUGUGCUUUGUGAGAGACUGAGAGCAUGACUGAGUUGGAGCAAGACUGCCAGUAAUACCUAAAAGUAAAAUUUGUCUUUGUGAGCUAUUUGCAAACUCAAAAGUAUUCAAAAAGACCCACAUAAACAUUUUCAUCUGGAAGGAGAAAAUAAUCAACUGAUCUGGCAUGAAGUUGCUGAGCAAAGCACAUCUUUUUUUAACUCAUUGCAAUAAGAUCAUGACUGUUCUGUAUUUAACAACCUACUCUUCUGGAUAUGUGUGUGUGUGGAAGGCACAUGGAAGUCUAAACAGAUUCCCUCUUACACUCUCUGCAAUCCAUAGAAAACCCAACAGUCCCUCUAAUACAGUCUGUUGCUCUGAAUGAUAUGAUUGAUAAUCACAGAAUGGUUUGGAUUUGAAGGAACUUUAAAGGUCAUCUAGUUCCAACCCCCUGCCAUGGGCAGGGAACCAGCUACACUCAGUUCAGAACAUAAAGGUUAAAUGCAUGAUCUCAGCUGAGGACCAGGAGGGACUUCAAGUGCUGAUCAGAACUUCAGCCCUGCCUGGGGAUCCAUUCCCUGCUCUGCUCUCCACGGAGCUCCACUGCUUCGGUGGUGGAAGGGGUUGGUAGAGGAGAUGUACCACCCACAGGCCUUGGAGACUGGUUAGUUCCUCAUAGCCAAAGUGGCAACAGCAUACAGCAGGAUCUGUACUGCCAGCAUUCCUGGUGGGAAUGGCAGUGGCAGGAGUCCAGAGAAGUGACUGAGCACAGAUGGCUGAUCUGUACAGGGGCAGUAAGUCAGAUGUCCUGAACAUCCCUCGCUGCUGCAGGUGCACGGAUGAACCAACCCAAGGGUAUUUGCCUGGGAGUUUCCAAAGGCCUGGCAGUGGUCACAGUUGAUGCCUACAAGCACUGGAUAUUCCACAAGUUGAAGACGGAAUACUGACUUGUUUACCUGAAGAUAAUAGGACUUCGGGGUAUUUCCUCAGAGAAAAUAUAAAUUUUAAUAUAAUUUCAUAAGCUUUGGAGGUUAGCUUGUCUUGUAGCUUCAGUGAUAUCAAACUUCUUCAAGUAGGAGCUAGAUAGAAAGCUGUUUAGUUUUUGCCAGCGUAUGUAAAACAAGACUUUUCUAUCUGCAUUGUAGAUUGUUUGUGGACACUUCCAGAUUCUUGUGCUUUCUGCAGUCAUUCUGGGGACUGAACUCUCAUUGAUACUGAAAGAGGUUCCGUGAUCAGGACACGGGCAGGAAUUUGAGUGUAGAAGCCCACAGUGUGGUUUGGAGUAGUGAAUUGCUUUUAGUUUGGAGAUGACUGUGGCAGAUGGGAAGAGCAACUGUACAUUAAGGGAACAAUUACAGAUCUUCCUGGAGACAUCAAUGAGAGAUUUGCCUUCAACCUUUCACAGAAGAUUUUUUUAGCUUUAAUUUGGGACAAUAAAGGGGUUUUUCAAAAGCACUAAAAACCAGUGGGAGCUUGUUAGCUGCUCCUUAUGCCUUUAAAAACCCCUACACCAAAAGUGAUAGCUAAGAACAUGAAAUGGAAGUAAAUAAAAUGCAUUUUCAUUGCUGUUUUGAGUUACAUAAUUCUUGUUUCUUGAUUUGUUAGUUGAUACGAAUUUACAUGGAUUUAAUCUAUAUGGUGACCAAGAGAAUGGUGAGUAACUGGUGAAAAUGCCAAGUAUAGCCACAAGUGAUGUGUAGGUGUAGACCCUAAGCAGCCAACAACAACAGGUAACAAGUCCACUGCCUACAGCCCUUAAGCCUUCUGUGUCCACACCCACCAAGGCAGAUGGGCAGAGCAGCAUCGACCAGCACACAACACACCCUCCCAGCUAAAGGGAUGAGCUCAAGGACACCCAGGAUCCAGUCACAGUACUUAGUUUCUUUAAGAAAUCUUGAGUUGCUGAACUGAUUGACAUGGGAUGAGUUGUGGACUAUGCAAAGGGAGUGAAAAUAUGUCAUGUUCCAAUGGAGAUUCAAGAAGCACACAAAAACCAGAAAGCCAGAGAAGAGCUCACUGACCAGGAGGAGAGCACUGAAAAGGAAGGAGCCCCUUAGAAGAGGAAUGGGCUUUGUAUGACCAGCUCUUUCAAGACACUUUAGAAGAAAUAGCUGACUUCAGCUGCCUUUUGUGAUGCUGGAAUUUUUUAAGGCUCUUGGAUCUCCAAUUACAUUAAUUUCUGCAUGUAGAGCCACAGAGAGCACACGUGCACUGACCCUUCCCUCAGAGCCACCUCAGAUUCCCCGGGGGUGGGAAGCCAUGGGAAUGUGUGUGCAGCAGAGGGAACUGCCAGUGCAAACAGAGGUCAAAAUGCAAUUUUACAUUUUUUACUGUAAAUGUCAGUCAUCACAUUUUUUGUAUUCUGUAUUGAUUUUAUAUGUAAAAUAGCCUAUGCCCAAUAAAACAGAUGCAGUGAAGUAAGGUUACCCUCUCCAGCUA